rnacentral:rRNA from 1 species
AUUGAACGCUGGCGGUAUGCUUAACACAUGCAAGUCGAACGGUAACGAAGCUAGCUUGCUAGCAGGCGACGAGUGGCGGACGGGUGAGUAACGCGUGGGAAUCUACCUAGUAGUGGGGGAUAGCCAGAAGAAAUUCUGAAUAAUACCGCAUACGCCCUACGGGGGAAAGAAGGCCUCUUCUUGAAAGCUUUCACUAUUAGAUGAGCCCGCGUUAGAUUAGCUAGAUGGUGAGGUAAAAGCUCACCAUGGCAACGAUCUAUAGCUGGUCUGAGAGGAUGACCAGCCACAUUGGGACUGAGACACGGCCCAGACUCCUACGGGAGGCAGCAGUGGGGAAUAUUGGACAAUGGGCGCAAGCCUGAUCCAGCAAUACCGCGUGUGUGAAGAAGGCCUUAGGGUUGUAAAGCACUUUUAUGAGUGAAGAAGGCCCUGAGGUUAAUAGCCUUGGGUCUUGACGUUAACUUUAGAAGAAGCACCGGCUAACUCUGUGCCAGCAGUUGUGGUAAUACAGAGGGUGCGAGCGUUAAUCGGAAUUACUGGGCGUAAAGAGUACGUAGGCGGUUUAGUAAGUCAGAUGUGAAAGCCCUGGGUUCAACCUGGGAACUGCAUUUGAAACUGCUGAACUAGAGUGUGGUAGAGGGAAGUGGAAUUCAGGGUGUAGCGGUGAAAUGCGUAGAUAUCCUGAGGAAUACCAGUGGCGAAGGCAGCCACCUGGGUCAACACUGACGCUCAUGUACGAAAGCGUGGGGAGCAAACGGGAUUAGAUACCCCGGUAGUCCACGCCGUAAACGAUGUCUACUAGGAGUUCGGUUUUUCGGAACUGUCUUCCAAAGCUAACGCAUUAAGUAGACCGCCUGGGGAGUACGGCCGCAAGGUUAUAACUCAAAUGAAUUGACGGGGGCCCGCACAAGCGGUGGAGCAUGUGGUUUAAUUCGAUGCAACGCGAAGAACCUUACCUACUCUUGACAUCCACAGAACUCGCUAGAGAUAGCUUGGUGCCUUCGGGAACUGUGAGACAGGUGCUGCAUGGCUGUCGUCAGCUCGUGUUGUGAAAUGUUGGGUUAAGUCCCGCAACGAGCGCAACCCUUAUCCUUAUUUGCCAGCACGUAAUGGUGGGAACUCUAAGGAGACUGCCGGUGAUAAACCGGAGGAAGGUGGGGACGACGUCAAGUCAUCAUGGCCCUUACGAGUAGGGCUACACACGUGCUACAAUGGCGCAUACAAAGGGCUGCAAACCAGCAAUGGUAAGCGAAUCCCAUAAAGUGCGUCGUAGUCCGGAUUGGAGUCUGCAACUCGACUACAUGAAGCUGGAAUCGCUAGUAAUCGCGGAUCAGCACGCCGCGGUGAAUACGUUCCCGGGCCUUGUACACACCGCCCGUCACACCAUGGGAGUGGGUUGCUCCAGAAGUGGAUAGUCUAACCUUCGGGGGGACGUUCACCACGGAGUGAUUCAUGU